UCAGGGUUGUCAUGAUAAGGAACAUAAACAUAUAGAUAGACAUGGGAAUUUUUAUAAAAUUUAGAAGACCAUGCUCUAGAAUGCAUGCAAGAACUUUGGCCACUUUUCAUCUCUUUCCUUCCGGAUGAUUGCAAGCAGCUACUCCUUGGCACUGCAUGAUCUUACGCCAAUAUUAUUGUGUCAUUUUGUUGUCAUUCUGCUCUUCUUUGGCUUGUAUCUCACUCUUCAUCACUCACGGCCAGCUUCUCUCUGUUUUGUUCACUCUAUUUGUUACUUGUGUUUCAUCAUCCAAAAGCACACUCACUCACUCACUCACUCUUUGUUCUCACUUGUGUAUAAUCAUAACACAAGCUCACACUCUC
rnacentral:lncRNA from 1 species